CAUCUUCUGAUCACAACAGACCCCAAGCCUCGUCUCCGAUGGACUCUCGAGCUUCAUGAACGAUUUGUCGAUGCUGUCACCCUGCUUGGAGGACCAGACAGUAAUUAGUCAUCAACUCUUCUUCUCACUAUAUAUAUAUAUGCUCAAGAAUUCAUCACGCAUGCAUGGAGUAUUAUAUAUAUAUAAUAAUCUUGUGUCACUGACUGUUAACUGACAAUCUGCCUGAAUCCUCACCUUGUUUCUCCUGCUUUCUUUUCCAUGUCUGAACCCAAUCUAGAGGCCACACCUAAGGCCAUUAUGAGAAUUAUGGGAGUUAAGGGUCUGACCCUUUAUCACUUGAAGAGCCACCUUCAGG
rnacentral:lncRNA from 1 species